ACCCUCCGGAAGACGAGCCCGAUUCAAAUUUCACUAUUUCGCAUGCGCUUAUGUCAACUCAAAAUAGUGCAUUGGCUCACUAGAGCUUGAUUAACCUACUUCUCAUCGCAAAGUGGGAUACAGUGACACAGUAAGGGACUGUUGCCGAGUGAGACGAAUAUGAAACAUUAAGAAUUCAUAAGCGGCAACAUUUAACUUGUGCUCUUUGUACAUUUCAGGCACAACCAUCACAUAGCGUGGGAUCCGUUAAAGGGCUUUGAUGUAAGUCACAUUCACAAACAAUUUCACAACCUUGUCAAUGUAGAUGAUCUCUCACUCUCCGAUGUAUUUUAAGAUGUCCCGCAUUUCGCUCCACAUGCUGAGAGCUUUUUUUUAAGAACCGACGUUUCUCUCCACUUGCUGAAGAAGUUCCCAGCACAUGCAAUGAAACGUCGGACAUUGUGCCGAACAACACGUGGUACGACCCGAACACACAUUUACCGGACAUCGGAUGUACUGGAUAUUUGUGAAAAAGAGCUUCAUAGGUCAUCGGAUUUCUCCAGGAUAAAUCAAGACUCUUACUUACCCAGGAAAGUCUCACUGACUCUUUUUCCAGAGGAUCGUGCCAGGCUUUUUACAUUAAGGGUGCAAUGCAUAAGAGGUUUUUUGGGUUAGAUCGUGAUCUAACCUAAAAAAACUUCUAUUAUGGAUGAUAUUGAUCGCGAAAGCCUACGUGUUAAAGGGUGCAAUGGUUGCUAUGUAUAAUCCCAAUAAAAUGUUUCAUAUGGAGCCAAUUAUGACGACAUAAGAGAGCUAUAGAGCACAACUUACUCAGUAGAUGAUCUGUGUUUGCUCAAGGAUGCAGUCAGUCUAAGUGACUUUGGUGGUAUCAUCUGUCUGAAAUAACGACUGGUCGCUUAUUUUAGAAGCGCACAUCACAACAAGCAGAAGACACUUCUAGACAAGCGUGACAGAUUAAAGCGAAGAUUGCGGAUUUAAAAUACAUGUCGAUGCUCUUUUGCUGCAUUCUUCAGAUCAAGAACAUUCCAAACGAGAUGAAGGAUGUGUUUAUGAAAGCUGGAAUCAACGAGCAGCAGUUAACUGACAAGAAAUCGUCCGAAGCUAUUCGUGAAGUUCUUGAUGCUUAUGGCCUUGUCGACACUGAUCAGAAGAAAACGGAAUGUGAACACACCUCACAGCGGUCAUGUGACCCAAGAAACCCACAAACGCCAAGAUAUUUAACGGCCAUGAAUACUCAAAAAUCUACAGCAGAGAGUCCCAACCGAUUCCUGGGAGUCGACAAGUUCCCUUCGCCCAAGUCCCCAGAACAAAACCAGGAUAUGGUCCAGAAGCUGAACAAUCUUCAACAGAUGUUGCAUCAGUUGAUGAUGGAGGUGUCUGGUGAAGAUGUCUGAAAACUCACGAUUUGGAUUAUUGUGGCAAUGGUGAAAUGUGAAACGUGCAUUACGUGAAGACGGAGCAAACGAUGUUCUUUGAGUAUUUCAGAAUAACUUUGUGGUGCGUUUACAAAACCACCCUUAGACCUAACUUACACCUCCGCAGACAUCACGAGAAUAUAAACUCUAACUAGUCCGCCUACCUAUCAAAAGGAACUAAGCAGAACCAAAUGCGAAUGGUGCACCGAACAAUGUAAUGUCCGUUCAAAUAAUCGUCUGAUAAUAACCGUAUAUAAUUGUUUAUUUUAGUUUUCAGCGAUGUCAGCUAUGUAACUUGUGUGUGUGUGUGUGAAGUAUUACAUGCUGUAUGUAUGAACUGUAUUAUGCCACAUUUGUAAAACUGGAUAAAAGCCAUAGAGGUCUAAGUAUUCGUAUGUUUUCAGUGCUCCGUGCAGCUUUGAGCUCUGGAUAGCCACCCUGAUUGCCCACCCAAAAAGCCAGGUCAAACGUCUGUUUUGGAAAUCACGAAUAUUACAUUGUACCUGAAGUUAUUUAUUCGUGAGCUAAACUGAAAAAAAUGUGGGCAAGGCUAAUUGCCGAAAGAGAAAGGAGGGAUGUAACAAAAGGCAUCACAUGCUCACACUAGGCCCCAUGCCAAUGAGACUGAUUGGAGCAUUGGAUUUUAAGCAAAACUGUGCAGACAUUUUUUGCAAUGUGAUUAUUUCGUCACCCUUGCUGGUAUUCAUGUGUCGGCGGGAAGGGGGAGAGCGGGUCUCUCCUCCACAUGUGUGUAAGGGAAACGUAUAGGUGAAACUUUAGUAAGUAUAACUCCAAUAAUCCGUGGUCACGUGAUGGACGAACGUCGUGGUUAAUGGGAUAAACUUGAUAAUUAAUGCCACCUAUCUGUGUAAAAUGUGUGAAUAAUGCAACACCAUUCUACCACAAAGCAUCGUGGGAAAAUCCAGGAAUAAUUGUGGAUAAUGGGAAGAAUAUGAUCAUGGGUAAUAGGUUUCACUGACCCUACAGCUCCAGCAGAUAACAGGGUAAUGUGUGAACGGAUAAGAGUUCUACCAUACCAGCACCCUUAUGUAAUGGUACACAAGACUGGGACUUGAUUUGAUGUAGGUAGCAUUAUAUGAUUUAAGCGUCAUAUAUAAACAAAACAUCUUAACUGCAUUUUCGUUUUCCAAAAUUUCUAUGGAGAAGCUCCUAGGAUAUAGCCACCCUUAGCAUGUAAAUAUCCACAAUUGCAAGUGCCCUGUGAAAAUGGCUGGAAUAAGUCACAGUUGGUGUAAGUGGGUUAUAAAAUAAAAUACUCUGUGCCGCCGAAUGCCCACACUUUCACAUUUAGUAAUCUCAAAGCAUUUGCAUAUACAUUAGAUAAGGCGCUGAGGCACGUAACCAUAAGUACCCGUUGAUUGACAGUUGAUGAAAUGAGAUUAAAUUCUGGUGCUGCGUGUUGGCAAGGGUCAUGAGCGAAUACGGUUUGGGAAAGUAGGUGAAUUAAAUAGGAUUGUGAAAAUCGUAAAGCAUAAUAUUAAUGGGUUUUUCUCCAAGCGUGGGGUCUCCAACCCCACACAAAAAUACCACACGUCACAUAUCCACCUCGCUGGGGGAUGGACUGCGGUUUAGGCGGAUGCGUGAAAAGGUCGAAUUGGUAAACAUCUAUUUAAAAAAAUGUUACACCACCAUGCGCAAAUAGGUUUUCUGGACAAUAAAGUGCACACUGCUUUCACCAUGGGAAAAUGCUUUGCAGUAAUGUCGAAGUAGAAGUGAAUGCACACGAGACUAAGUAUGCAUUACUGUAUUUGAAAAGAUUGGAUGCUGUGAAUAUCUAUUGAAAUUGACGGUUAACACCGUGCACCAAUACAGCACUGAGUGUGGGUGGUGAAUUGAUCAGGGCGAACCUGUAACUGUCAGAUAUGCACACGUAUCAUACUUUUAAUACAUGAACAAGCAUUCCAAAGGAGAGCCCUUUUGAAAAGGUCAUGAAGCUCCGUCAGGCAAUCCUGGAAAAAGACAACUGAAUGAGCAUGUGAUUACUGUAGGUGUAUUCGAAACAAAUUGCACACAUUUUUAAAAGGUCCUCUGGUUAAUUUAGCAAAGAGCAUUUGCAGAUAAUUUCCAAACUCCACACUAGAUGGUGGGCAGUGCUAUUUUUUAAA